UCUUAAGGAUGAGCACAAAAAGUGGUUUAUUCAGAUGUAAUCUAAUCCUGAUGAAGAUGCUAUGAA
rnacentral:pre_miRNA from 1 species